CCUACGGGAGGCAGCAGUCGAGAAUCAUUCACAAUGGGGGAAACCCUGAUGGUGCGACGCCGCGUGGGGGAAUGAAGGUCUUCGGAUUGUAAACCCCUGUCAUGUGGGAGCAAAUUAAAAAGAUAGUACCACAAGAGGAAGAGACGGCUAACUCUGUGCCAGCAGCCGCGGUAAUACAGAGGUCUCAAGCGUUGUUCGGAAUCACGGGGCGUAAAGCGUGCGUAGGCUGUUUCGUAAGUCGUGUGUGAAAGGCGCGGGCUCAACCCGCGGACGGCACAUGAUACUGCGAGACUAGAGUAAGGGAGGGGGAACCGGAAUUCUCGGUGUAGCAGUGAAAUGCGUAGAUAUCGAGAGGAACACUCGUGGCGAAGGCGGGUUCCUGGACAUUAACUGACGCUGAGGCACGAAGGCCAGGGGAGCGAAAGGGAUUAGAUACCCGUGUAGUC
rnacentral:rRNA from 1 species